GUAGUCCACGCCGUAAACGAUGGAUGCUAGUUGUUGGGAUUUUAUUCCAGUGACACAGCUAACGCGUUAAGCAUCCCGCCUGGGGAGUACGGUCGCAAGAUUAAAACUCAAAGGAAUUGACGGGGACCCGCACAAGCGGUGGAGUAUGUGGUUUAAUUCGAUGCAACGCGAAGAACCUUACCACCUUUUGACAUCUGGAUAGCUGUUUGCAGAAAUGCAUUCGUCGGUUCGGCCGGAUCCAAGACAGGUGUUGCAUGGCUGUCGUCAGCUCGUGUCGUGAGAUGUUGGGUUAAGUCCCGCAACGAGCGCAACCCUCAUCCUUAGUUACCAGCGGGUUAUGCCGGGCACUCUAAGGAAACUGCUCGUGAUAAGCGAGA
rnacentral:rRNA from 1 species